AAGUUUGCGUCUCCGGUUACAGCAUUGUUAACGGAACAGUUCCCCCUGCCUGAAGCUAUCUGGGGCAGCAGAGUUUUAGAAAAUACGGACAGGGGUCAUUUUGUACGGUAUUUGAGCGCAUAAAACGUAGGAGAUUCAGUUGGUUGGGAGACGCAAAUCGCUAACUAACGUUACAGUUCCAUAUCCCCAUAAAGGAAUAUUUAAGUUUGGGAGCCAUGUCUCGGGAGCAGCAGGCGGUGGAGCGCGCGCGCAAGGCCUUCCUCACGGGACGGUCCAAGCAGCUGGACUACAGGAUCAUGCAGCUCAAGUCGCUGCAGCGCUUCCUCGUGGAGAGAAGCCAGGAGAUCUGCGAUGCGCUCAAGAAGGACCUCAACAAGAGCGAGCUCGGCACGCCGCUGUACGAGACGCUGGGCCUGGAGAGCGAGAUCGGGCUGGCGGUCAGCAAGCUGAAGGAGUGGGCGGCACCGCGGCCCGUGGAGAAGAACCUGCUGACGCUCUCGGACCAGGUGUUCAUCCAGCCCGAGCCGCUGGGCGUGGUGCUGAUCAUCGGCGCCUGGAACUACCCCUGGGCCGUCACCCUGCAGCCCCUCAUUGGCGCCAUCGCCGCAGGUAAUGCUGCCGUAGUGAAGCCCUCGGAGGUCAGUGCUCACACGUCUAAGGUGAUGGAGGAACUGCUCCCCGUUUACCUGGACAAGGAGCUGUAUCCCGUGGUUACCGGGGGGGUGCCAGAGACCCAGGAGCUGCUGAGGCAGCGUUUUGACCACAUCUUCUACACGGGGAACCCCGCCGUGGGAAAACUGGUGAUGGAGGCCGCCGCCCGUCACCUGACCCCCGUCACCCUGGAGCUGGGGGGGAAGAGCCCCUGCUACAUCGACAAGGACUGUGACAUCACAAUCGCCUGCCGACGGGUCACCUGGGGAAAGUUCACAAACUGCGGCCAGACCUGCAUCGCCCCCGACUAUCUCCUGUGUGAGCCCAGCAUCCAGGACCGUGUGGUGGAAGAGAUUGGCAAGUGUGUGAAGGAGUUCUACACGGAGGACCCCAAGGCCUGUGAGGAUUACGGGCGCAUGAUCAACCAGCGGCACUUCAGCAGGGUGCUGGGGCUGAUGGAGGGCAGUACGGUGGCCCUCGGGGGCCAGAGCGACGAGGCGCAGUGCUACAUCGCCCCCACGAUCCUCCGGGACGUGCAGCCGGACUCCAAGGUGAUGCAGCAGGAGAUCUUUGGCCCCCUGUUGCCCAUAGUAACGGUCAGCGGGCUGGAGGAGGCGAUCCGCUUCAUCAACGCCAGAGAGAAGCCGUUGGCCCUGUACGUCUUCUCUCAGGAUAACAAGCUGAUCAAACGUGUUAUCUCGGAGACCUCGAGCGGUGGGGUCCUGGGUAAUGACUGCCUGGUUCACUUCUCUGUGAGCGCACUGCCCUUUGGGGGUGUAGGCAACAGUGGGAUGGGCAGCUACCACGGGAAGCACAGCUUCGACCAGCUGAGCCACCUGCGCGGCUGCCUCAUCAAGUCCCUGGGCAUGGAGGGCGUCAACAAGAUGCGCUACCCGCCCCACACGGCGCAGAAGCUGAGCUGGGCGCGCUUCUUCAUCCUCAAGCAGGUGGACUUCGGCCGCCUGGGCCGGCUGGCCAUGUUCGCCAUGCUCACCGUGGUCGCCGCCGUGCUGAUCCAGACAAACCACACAGUGUCUGCUGGGUAAUCCGCUAGGACGGAGUGCGGCACAGUGGGUAAGGAACUGGGCUUGUAACCGAAAGGUCGCCGGUUCGAUUCCCGGAGGUAUUGGCAGUGAGGGGCUGUUGCAGAUCUGCGCAGAUGGACUCCGGCUGCGCAGUGAGAUUUGGGGCCCGCGGCUGUCUUGACCACACAGGCCUUACCCAGAAACCUCAGCUGGGCUACUUUAUCGUCUAACUGCUGAUUAUUUUAUCUACCUUACCCAAAAACCUCAGCUGGGCUACUUUAUCGUCUAACUGCUGAUUAUUUUAUCUACCUUACCCAAAAACCUCAGCUGGGCUACUUCAUCGUCUAACUGCUGAUUAUUUUAUCUACCUUACCCAAAAACCUCAGCUGGGCUACUUCAUCGUCUAACUGCUGAUUAUUUUAUCUACCUUACCCAAAAACCUCAGUUGGGCUACUUUAUCGUCUAAUUGCUGAUUAUUUUAUCUACGGCACUUGAUGGAGUUUUUAGUUUUAACCUGUUAGCUCAGGUUGUUUUUUUUUUUUAAAUAGCAUUUAUUUCCAUUACUCUGCAAAUGGAUUUAGUUUUAAUGAAGGAAAAGAGCUGAAGGAUGUUGCCUUUACUGGAUUCACAGUUAUUCCAGUAAUGGCUGCUUAAUGGGGGUACUGGGGACCCUGUAUAUGAAGUUCUGUAGUAUUUGUGUCUUCACGUUUCAAAGCUCAGGACCCCUAGUGAAAUGUGAUUGGCUAGGUCUCCCUGUCAUGUGACCAGAGGACAUCCUGUUGUGUAACUGGAGGUCUUCCUGUCCUGGGACCAGAAGUCUUCCUGUCAUUUGGCAGUAGGACUUCCUGUCAUGGGACCACGGGUCUUCCUGUCAUGUGACUGAAGGUCUUUGUGUUAUGUGACUGGAGAACAUCCUGUCAUUUGGCCAGAGGCCUUCCAGUCUUUCCCAGCCAGUUAGAAUAAGCCUUGGAAAUUUGAAUUAAUGCAGGGCAAAAGCCUUUGCCCAUAAAUGGACUUCCUGAUCAAUGGUGAAUUUCUCUAUGGGGAAAAUGAAUGGGAGAUUAACAUAAUCAUCCCUGUCACAUUCUGUGAUUCGAACUGGCAUUUAAAACUCGGAUGAUUUUGUCCACACACAUUUCUCUCUUAAAUGGCACUGGAUCCACUGAAUUUCCCGCCGAAACAGUUAUUUCCGUUAUGAGGCCAUUGCAGCUAGUCAAAGGUAACAUUAGCCAACGAAGAUAUUUAAAUAAACUACUCAAAUAAGGAGAAUUACUAAUGAGAACAGUAACAAUAGUAACUAUAGCAACAAUAAAGAUAUUGAAAAUAUAUACAACUAUUCAAAAUAGGAAAAUAUAAUUUUUUACGCCAACAGGUAAUAGCAAGCGGUUCAUGUGUGUGAGUGGUAGCUCGAGAUGCAGCCCAAUGUGUGAUGUCAUAGUUGUGCGAUUGGCCAUCAAGGGUGGGGCUUACCAUUUAGGCUUUAGAAUUUUGGUUUUGCACCAAUUCUUUUUUAGAUUUAAAAAAAUGGGUGAAAAGCAUUUUUUUUUUCAUAUGCAAACAUCCAAAUGUGUCAUGCAUUGUUUUGAAGGAAUUUUUUAUCCAGAAGUCUCGAAGAUGCUAACAAAUCUGAAGGAAAUGACAACAUGACUUGUUGGGUCUAUAUCAUCACAGAACUAGAAUAGAAGCACAUGGACAACUCUAAUGAAGGAACAUCAGGUUGAGUUUUUCCAGCCUUUUCUGAAGUAAAACUGAAAUAAUUGUAACGGAUACCUCACGCAAUUCACACUAGAUAUGUAUGGACAUACAUAUGCAUAUUCAGUCAGAAUUAUGUUGGAAAUUCAUAUUCAGUCAGAAUUAUGUUGCUAAUUCAUGUUUACAUUUUUGAUUGAAGUGCAGGAAUGGGUCAGUGUGAAUGUGCACUAGCCAUUAUGAAAUGCAGUAAACUGUGUACUGUAUGUAUUGCCAUGGUAACAUUUUAUUUCUUGUUAAUUCAGCAAUUUAAAAAUAAUGCUCACAACAUAGCUGCUGUUUUAUGGAACGAACAUUUUAAUUAUUUUGCUGAAAUGACAUAUUGUCUGAAAAUCACCUGACAUUUACAAUACUGUGAUUAUAUUCUAUUGUUUGCAAAUAAAAUGUUAGUUUGAAACGUGAA